AGAGCUGGGGCUCUCAGUGGUAGAGCGCUUGCCUUACAUGCAUGAGGCGCUGAGUUCAAUCCUCAGCACCACAA
rnacentral:tRNA from 1 species